UCUAACUCUGUUUGGACUCUGCAGCCCUCCAGUCUCCCAUCGAGUACCAGAGGAAAGAGGGCGGGAUCUCCGUAACCCGGCCGCUGUCGUCAGGGCGACCACCGUCAGCCCUGCCUACGCCCAACGGCCACGCCCCUCAGCCCCCGCCCGACAGCGAGCAGGACGACCAGGAGCUGGUCCUGGUCCAGCAGGACUUCGUGGCGGUCCGUGAGGACGAGAUCUCUGUGUUCCGGGGGGAGAAGGUCCAGAUCCUGGCGUCCAAUCAGCAGGGCCAGAGCCUGGUGUACCGGCCCGCCAACAGUGAUUCGCCGGCCGCCGAGGGCUGGGUGGCCCGGAGCGCCCUCGGCGCACACUGACACACACACAUACACACACACACACACACACACAAUGAAGCUAACGGCUAACGGGGCCAAAAGCAUGCUGGGAAAAUGCUCUCAUGACAGCCAUAAGAUAGAGACAUCACCCUGAAAUAUCAAAACAAUCUGGGAAACUAUGGACUACAAGUAUGGACUACAACUAUGGAUCUCUGUUUAAGUUCAUCUCAAACCUGUAGGGCUGGGACUGACAACAGCCUUUUAUUUAACAAAUUAAAAGCACUUCCUGUUGCAGGUUUUCUAGUCAUCCAUACUAAAA